GGGCGAGUAACACGUGGGCAACCUGCCUGUAAGACUGGGAUAACUUCGGGAAACCGGAGCUAAUACCGGAUAAUAUAUAGUACCUCCUGGUACUAUAUUGAAAGAUGGUUUCGGCUAACACUUACAGAUGGGCCCGCGGCGCAUUAGCUAGUUGGUGAGGUAACGGCUCACCAAGGCAACGAUGCGUAGCCGACCUGAGAGGGUGAUCGGCCACACUGGGACUGAGACACGGCCCAGACUCCUACGGGAGGCAGCAGUAGGGAAUCUUCCACAAUGGACGAAAGUCUGAUGGAGCAACGCCGCGUGAGCGAUGAAGGCCUUCGGGUCGUAAAGCUCUGUUGUUAGGGAAGAACAAGUGCGAGAGUAACUGCUCGCACCUUGACGGUACCUAACCAGAAAGCCACGGCUAACUACGUGCCAGCAGCCGCGGUAAUACGUAGGUGGCAAGCGUUGUCCGGAAUUAUUGGGCGUAAAGCGCGCGCAGGCGGUUUCUUAAGUCUGAUGUGAAAGCCCACGGCUCAACCGUGGAGGGUCAUUGGAAACUGGGAGACUUGAGUGCAGAAGAGGAGAGUGGAAUUCCACGUGUAGCGGUGAAAUGCGUAGAGAUGUGGAGGAACACCAGUGGCGAAGGCGACUCUCUGGUCUGUAACUGACGCUGAGGCGCGAAAGCGUGGGGAGCAAACAGGAUUAGAUACCCUGGGUAGUCCACGCCGUAAACGAUGAGUGCUAAGUGUUAGAGGGUUUCCGCCCUUUAGUGCUGCAGCUAACGCAUUAAAGCACUCCGCCUGGGGAGUACGGUCGCAAGACUGAAACUCAAAGGUAUUUGACGGGGGCCCGCACAGCGGUGGGAGCAUUGUUGGUUUAAAUCAGAAGCACGACGAAGAUCUUUACCAGGUCUUGACAUUCCUCUGGCAACUCUAGGAGAAUAACGACGGUUUCCCUUUCGGGGGGGACAGGAUGACAAGU
rnacentral:rRNA from 1 species